UUGAUUUGGUGCUUGCAUCAUGAUUUACAUUUGAGUGAGUGGCGAACUGGUGAGUAACACGUGGGAAACCUGCCCAGAAGCGGGGGAUAACACCUGGAAACAGAUGCUAAUACCGCAUAACAACUUGGACCGCAUGUCCGAGUUUGAAAGAUGGCUUCGGCUAUCACUUUUGGAUGGUCCCGCGGCGUAUUAGCUAGAUGGUGGGGUAACGGCUCACCAUGGCAAUGAUACGUAGCCGACCUGAGAGGGUAAUCGGCCACAUUGGGACUGAGACACGGCCCAAACUCCUACGGGAGGCAGCAGUAGGGAAUCUUCCACAAUGGACGAAAGUUGAUGGAGCAACGCCGCGUGAGUGAAGAAGGGUUUCGGCUCGUAAAACUCUGUUGUUAAAGAAGAACAUAUCUGAGAGUAACUGUUCAGGUAUUGACGGUAUUUAACCAGAAAGCCACGGCUAACUACGUGCCAGCAGCCGCGGUAAUACGUAGGUGGCAAGCGUUGUCCGGAUUUAUUGGGCGUAAAGCGAGCGAGGCGGUUUUUUAAGUCUGAUGUGAAAGCCUUCGGCUCAACCGAAGAAGUGCAUCGGAAACUGGGAAACUUGAGUGCAGAAGAGGACAGUGGAACUCCAUGUGUAGCGGUGAAAUGCGUAGAUAUAUGGAAGAACACCAGUGGCGAAGGCGGCUGUCUGGUCUGUAACUGACGCUGAGGCUCGAAAGUAUGGGUAGCAAACAGGAUUGAUACCCUGGUAGUCCAUACCGUAAACGAUGAAUGCUAAGUGUUGGAGGGUUUCCGCCCUUCAGUGCUGCAGCUAACGCAUUAAGCAUUCCGCCUGGGGAGUACGGCCGCAAGGCUGAAACUCAAAGGAAUUGACGGGGGUCCCGCACAAGCGGUGGAGCAUGUGGUUUAAUUCGAAGCUACGCGAAGAACCUUACCAGGUCUUGACAUACUAUGCAAAUCUAAGAGAUUAGACGUUCCCUUCGGGGACAUGGAUACAGGUGGUGCAUGGUUGUCGUCAGCUCGUGUCGUGAGAUGUUGGGUUAAGUCCCGCAACGAGCGCAACCCUUAUUAUCAGUUGCCAGCAUUAAGUUGGGCACUCUGGUGAGACUGCCGGUGACAAACCGGAGGAAGGUGGGGAUGACGUCAAAUCAUCAUGCCCCUUAUGACCUGGGCUACACACGUGCUACAAUGGAUGGUACAACGAGUUGCGAACUCGCGAGAGUAAGCUAAUCUCUUAAAGCCAUUCUCAGUUCGGAUUGUAGGCUGCAACUCGCCUACAUGAAGUCGGAAUCGCUAGUAAUCGCGGAUCAGCAUGCCGCGGUGAAUACGUUCCCGGGCCUUGUACACACCGCCCGUCACACCAUGAGAGUUUGUAACACCCAAAGU
rnacentral:rRNA from 2 species